GCCCUUACGGGGAUUGUGUAAAUGACCUUUUUCCAAGCGGGGGAGGGGAGGGCGGUUGGAGGUUUAUUAUUCCCUCCCGUGCGAUGGACCGUUACCCUCCGCAUGAAGAAGCCCCACGGGCUAAAUUCAGUCCCAGCCCACCCCCGGUAAUUCCGAGGGGGCCAAGAGUUAAUCGGAAUUUGCUAGGCGUAAAGCGCCUGCAGGCGAUUCUGUCAAAUCGAAUGUGAAUCCCCGGGCUCAACCUGGGUACUUCAUUCCGAACCUGGCAGGGCUAUAGUCUGUAGAGGGGGGGAAGAAUUUCCAGGUGGAACGGGUAAAUGCGUAGCGAUCUGGAGGAAUUCCCGUUGGUCGAAGGGCGACCCCCUCUGGACAAAGCCUGACAUCAGGUUCGAAAGCGUGGGGGAGCAAACAGGAUUAAAAUACCCUGGUAGUCCACGCCGUAAAAGAAGUCGACUUAGAGGUUGUGCCCUGAGUCGUGGAUUCCGGAGCUAACGCGAUUAGUCGUCCGCAUGGGUAGUCCGGCCGCAAGGUUAAAACUCAAAUGAAUUGACGGGGGGCCGCACAAGCGGUGGAGCAUGUGGUUUAAUUCGAUGCAACGCGAAGAACCUAACCUACUCUUGACAUCCAGAGACCUUAGCAGAGAUGCUUUUGUGCCUUCGGGAACUCUGAAACAGGU
rnacentral:rRNA from 1 species